CCAAAGGCUCUUUUCAGAGCCACCCACCACCGCACUGAGAGAAGCU
rfam:Myotis davidii contig35473, whole genome shotgun sequence.